rnacentral:lncRNA from 1 species
UCACUCUCUCAUCAUCACCAUCAAACCCACGUACAAUUGCACUCAUCAUCACCAUUGAUAUCUCAUCACCAAACCUACAAAAAUAUCAAGCCCUUGCCAUCACAAAACAACCAUCGCCAUCAAAUCAAUCUACACCACGAUACUCGAUUUGCUCAAUUGUCAUCACCAUGACCUUCAUCCACAUCCACCAUUAAAAAUGACACGUCACACCCGAUCUUGCCACCACUACCAUUACAAAGCCUCAACUUUAGUAAGACGAGCAUUUUCAUUACUAUACUACCUUAGCUUCAGUAAGACAAAAGCAUUUUUUGCUUUAUAAAAAAUGAGAGCCUAUGCAACAGGCUUCUAUGACAAGGUCUAAAUAUAUAGUUUUUCAAAUAUUACACUCUUCAAAGUUAAAUAUCUCAUAUAAAUUGAUAAGACCUCAAACUUGAGCAACUAUUGUUAUACACCUGUCUGCAUAGCAAACUAUAUGGCUUCUAGCUAAGCAAAUUGUCACACAAGUAUUUUUGAGAUCAUUGAUAGAAGCAUGUCGCUUCCACAGCCUUUAUUUUUGAGGUGAUGAAGGAACAUUUCAUCAUCCCUUCAAUCGUUAUUUUUUGAGACAUUGAGAGCAUUGUCUAACUCCUCAUCAACAAAUGCCUCCAAUUACAUAGCUCUUUCCAGAAGUAUCACCUCUUAGGUCUGAGGCGAUGAGAACAAACACAACCUUUAGCCACAUCAGCUAAGCCUCUAGUUUUCAAGGUAGCUAUAGUUAAUUCUAGAGGCACCACGUUCACCAUUAAAAUUGACACAUCACACCCUAUCUUGCCACAACUAUCAUUACAAAGCCUUAACUUCAAUAAGGCAAGAGCAUUUUCAUUACAACAUUGCCUUAGCUUCGAUAAGGCAAAAGCAUUUUUCACUUCAUAAACAAUGAGCACCUAUGCAACAGACCUCUAUGACAAGAUCUCAGUACAUAGUUUUUCAAAUCUUACACUCUUGAAAGUCAAAAUAUCUCAUACAUAUUGACAAGACCUUAAACUUAAUCGACUAUUGUUAUACAUCUGCCUUUGUAGCAGAUUUUGUGGCUACUAGCUAAGCAUUUUAAGCAAAAUGCCACACAAGUGUAUUCGAGGCCAUUGAUGGAAGUAUGUUGCUUCCACUACCUUCACUUCUGAGGCAACGAGGGAACACCUCAUCAACAAUUUAUUUUUUGAGACAUUGAGAGCAUAGUCUAACUCCUUGUUAACAAAUGCCUCCAACGACUUAGCUCCUUCCAAAAGCAUUACCUCCUAAAUCUAAGGCAGCAAGAAGAGACACAAUCAUUAGCCACAUUAGUUGAGCUCUUAGUGUUCG